UGCCCCCUUCACUCCUCCCCCUUCACGCAGUACCCCCACUGUAUCUCUAACCGGAACCGGAAGCGGUAUCCGGUCCCGUAUCUGGCAGCCGAAAUUAGCGGGCCGGACUGCAGAAGCGCCGUGCUCAGAAGGAGGCAUACCGGCACCGUGGGGGGAGAGCGCUGCUGUACUGGUUGGGGAAGGAGUGGUGGAACGUCAUGGCGAAACGUCACACCGCUCUGAUCGUGCUGUGUUUGCUGGUCCUCAUGUCCAGCGUUCGCACGACCUGCGGCCAGCCCGGCGACAGGGAGGCCGCGGCCCAGGAACGGAGGAGCGAGCUGUCACCUGUUCAUCAAGCCGCUCUUUUUGGGCGCAGUUGUCCGAUCGGGACCCGGCAUUGUGGUGACCGAAGGUGCUGCCGAACACGUCAGAGGUCACGCCCGGCUCAUCGCUGUCGCCCUUGGAAGGUCUACCACCCGAUUUUCGGGUGUACUCAUACUGUUCAUUAAACAUCGGCAGGCCUACCACUCCAUUUUUGGGUGUAUCAAUUAAACCCUGAUACUCUUACCAGCUGUGCUUUUGUGUUAAACCAUUGUUGUUUUAAACCCAGUGUUGAAGUGUUUCACUGAGGCAUCCUGUUUGAAUGUAUCAACCAGACACGAUGUGAUAUGGCAUUGGUGAAAUAUUGUGAAUGGCUUGGCUUCAAGAACCGUGAUCAAAUCAAAGACAUGUUGGAGGAUCAGAUGUCGAUGUAUCACAUGUAGUCCCUUAACCUCAGCCCCAGUGGGGGGGGGGACAUAUUAUGUUACCACCCUGUCGCACUUUUUGCGUGUGAAUAAAAAACCGCGGCGCGUAGCGCCGCGCCGCUUGGAA